UCAUUAUUUCAUUUCAUUUCAUCUCAUCAGUUCAUCUCACCAUUUCAUUUCAUCUCAUCUCAUCAUUUCAUCAUUCAUCUCAUCAUUUCAUCUCAUCAUUCAUCUCAUUUCAUAUCAUCAUUUUAUCUCAUCUCAUCAUUUCAUCUCAUUUCUUCUCAUCUCAUCAUUUCCAUUUCAUUUUCAUUUCAUUAUUUCAUCAUUUCAUUAUUUCAUUUCAUCUCAUUUCAUUAUUUCAUUUCAUUAUGUCAUUUCAUUUCAUCUCAUUACAUUUCAUCUCAUCUCAUUUCAUCUCAUCAUUUCAUCUCAUCGUUCAUCUCAUUUCAUCUCAUCAUUUUAUCUCAUUAUUUCAUCUCAUCUCAUGUCAUUUCAAUUUCAUUAUUUCAUAUCAUUUCAUUAUUUCAUUUCAUUUCAUCUCAUCAUUUCUUCUCAUUUCAUCUCGUUUCAUCUCAUCAUUUCAUCCAUCAUCUCAUUUCAUCUCAUCUCAUCUCCUUUCAAUUUCUUUUCAAUUUUGUCAUUUUAUCUCAUCAUUUCAUCUCACCAUUUCAUCUCAAAAUUUCAUCUCAUCAUUUCAUCUCAGCAUUUCAUCAUUUCAUCUCAUCAUUUCAUCUCAUCUCAAGUAAUCUUAUCAUUUCAUCUAAGUGAAAUGAUGUAAUGGAAUCAUGAAAUGAAAUGGAUAGGUUGCCCUCAGUGAUGUUAAAUUUAAAAAUUGUUUGCUUUCAUGUAUUCAUUUUUAUAUUUAUAUGUAUUUAUAUUUAUAUUUACUUAUAUUUCUUUUUACUUAUUUUUAUUUAUAUUUUUACUUAUUUAUUGGUAGACAAGGUCCUGUUCUGUGGCCUAGGCUGGAAUGCAGUGGUGCAUUCACAGUUCACUGCAGCCUCGAGCAAACCUCCCACCUUAGCCUCCCAGGUAGCUGGGACCCCAGGUGCGCACCACCACACCUGGUUAAUAUUUUAUUAUUUG
rnacentral:lncRNA from 1 species